UUCAGGCUCGGGGAGUGAAGGCCUCAUUGAGAGAAGGUCUCAUUCUGUGUUUUGGGAAGAGAGUCGUGUGGGCCCAGGUAUCGUAGCGGCGACACGAGAGAGACGGCCGGUGUGACAGCCUUCCACUACCUGCACGAGUGUAUUGGUAACGUUGGGGUGGGUGCACUCUUUCGGAGCUGGAGGAAGUGCUGCCCUCUGCUCCCCCAUCCCAGCGCUUUGGUUUCUCCCACCCGGCAGUCAUUGGGGGACGCUGGAUGAGCCCAUUUCUGAAGUGCGGAGGGGCCGGGCUUUUUAGGCGGUGGGCGGAGCCUGGGCCUGGGAGAGGAACAGGGCCCUGGAGCACCUGGUUUCGGGGACAGUAGGGUUGGUGGGAGUUACGAUGAUAUUGCCACCUACCUCUUACAUCUUUUAGUGCGUAUGUUCUGUCCACCCAGCUACUGGUUCAUUUGAGUAGAUGGGAGUCAGAUGAGUACAUGUUUACGGGAGGCGCUUGGUUACGGGAUCCAGAUAUGAAUCUUUAUCUGAGCUGCUUGUCAGUUUGUUCAUCUGUCCCUAGGUCUGUCUGCUAUCAGCUAUGCCGCUGCCCGUUGCGCUGCAGACCCGCUUGGCCAAGAGAGGCAUCCUCAAACAUCUGGAGCCUGAACCAGAGGAAGAGAUCAUUGCCGAGGACUAUGACGAUGAUCCUGUGGACUACGAGGCCACCAGGUUGGAGGGCCUACCACCAAGCUGGUACAAGGUGUUCGACCCUUCCUGCGGGCUCCCUUACUACUGGAAUGCAGACACAGACCUCGUAUCCUGGCUCUCCCCACAUGACCCCAACUCUGUGGUUACCAAAUCGGCCAAGAAGCUCAGAAGCAGUAAUGCAGAUGCUGAAGAAAAGUUGGACCGGAGCCAUGACAAGUCGGACAGGGGCCAUGACAAGUCGGACCGCAGCCAUGAGAAACCAGACAGGGGCCACGACAAGUCAGACCGGGGCCACGACAAGUCUGACAGGGAUCGAGAGCGUGGCUAUGACAAGGUAGACAGAGAGAGAGAGCGAGACAGGGAACGGGAUCGGGACCGCGGGUAUGACAAGGCAGACCGGGAAGAGGGCAAAGAACGGCGCCACCAUCGCCGGGAGGAGCUGGCUCCCUACCCCAAGAGCAAGAAGGCAGUAAGCCGAAAGGAUGAAGAGUUAGACCCCAUGGACCCUAGCUCAUACUCAGACGCCCCCCGGGGCACGUGGUCAACAGGACUCCCCAAGCGGAAUGAGGCCAAGACUGGCGCUGACACCACAGCAGCUGGGCCCCUCUUCCAGCAGCGGCCGUAUCCAUCCCCAGGGGCUGUGCUCCGGGCCAAUGCAGAGGCCUCCCGAACCAAGCAGCAGGAUUGAAGCUUCGGCCUCCCUGGCCCUGGGUUAAAAUAAAAGCUUUCUGGUGAUCCUGCCCACC
rnacentral:sRNA from 1 species